rnacentral:misc_RNA from 1 species
CUUACAUCUUCAAUAUGUUCAAACUUAUUCUAAUGGCUUUCUUUGGAAUGACAAUAUUUCUGAGAACCGAGAUGCAUCGAAACACAGUAACAGAUGGUGGAACUUAUUUUGGUGCCCUUUACUAUGCAGUCGUAGCAAUUAUGUUCAAUGGACUUUCAGAGCUUGCAAUGACUGUCAUGAAACUUCCUGUUUUUUACAAAGAAAGAGACCUACUCUUUUAUCCUUCAUGGGCAUAUGCUUUGCCCACAUGGAUUCUAAAGAUUCCAAUCAACUUGGUAGAAGUUUCCAUAUGGGUGAUUUUGACAUAUUAUGUUAUAGGCUUUGAUCCUAACUUCGAAAGGUUUUUCAAGCAGUGCCUGAUGCUCCUAAUCACUCAGCAGAUGGCAUCCUCACUGUUUCGACUAAUAGCAGCUCUAGGAAGAAAUAUGAUUGUAGCUAACACAAUUGCAACGUUAUCAUUACUAGCAACAUUGGUUCUAGGUGGAUUUAUCCUAUCACGAGAUGAUGUGAAGAAAUGGUGGAUUUGGGGUUAUUGGUUGUCACCAAUGAUGUAUGCGCAGAAUGGAAUUGCUGUGAAUGAAUUUCCGGGGAAGAGUUGGAAUCAUUUUCCUGCUAAUUCAACAGAGACAUUAGGAGUUAUGGUCUUGAAGUCCCGUGGAAUAUUCCAUGAAGCUUACCGGUACUGGAUUGCUGUUGGAGCUCUGAUUGCAUAUAUCUUUCUAUUCAAUUUCCUUUUCACUUUGGCCUGAAAUAUCUCAAUCCAUUUGAGAAGCCUCAAGCAAUACUUUCAGAAGAGGCCUUUGCUGAGCAAAAUGCAAACAAUACUAGGGAGUUCACAGAAAUUGGGAGUGCAAGCAAUAGGAAUUCCUCAUCCAGGAUGCCAUCUGUUAGGGUGAGAAACUUUAGUGAUGCAAACCAGGACACGAAGCAGGGAAUGGUUCUCCCAUUUCAACCCCUUUCCAUCACUUUCGAUGAAAUCAGAUAUGCUGUACACAUGCCACAGGAAAUGAAAGCUCUAGGUAUUACUGCAGAUCGUCUAGAACUUUUGAAGGGUAUAAGUGGUGCUUUCAGGCCAGGAGUCCUGACAGCCCUAAUGGGUUCUAGUGGUGCUGGAAAGACCACUCUAAUGGAUGUAUUGGCUGGAAGAAAAACUGGAGGUUACAUUGAGGGAAACAUGACAAUAUCUGGAUACCCAAAGAGGCAAGAAACUUUUGCUCGGAUAUCGGGAUACUGUGAGCAAACUGACACCCAUUCCCCUCAUGUUACAGUCUAUGAAUCAUUACUUUAUUCUGCAUGGCUUCGACUACCAAUUGAGGUUGAUUCUAAUAAAAGAAAGCUGUUCAUUGAGGAAGUAAUGGAGCUUGUGGAACUGACUUCUUUAAGAGAAGCAAUUGUCGGAUUGCCUGGUGUGAA